GCCGCCACUCUCGUUGGUCACUGGGGCCCCUUCAGGCGUUGAGCGGGAGACACCAUUGAGACGAGCGGGCAGAGCGGCACCGGCCAAUAUGGAGGCGCCCGGCGGUGCCGAGGCGGGGGAGGCGGAGGAGUCCGACGGGCGGGGGCACCGCCAUCCCAUUGCGGAGAUGUUGGAUCUGCCUUUCCUACCCUUUUGUGCCUUCCUGGGUGGCUUGGGCUUCAUCUGCGUGGCCUUCGUGAGUGCUUGGUGCCAGCAUUGGCGCGGCGGCUUCUCCUUGGAUGGCAGCAUCCAGACAUUCAACUGGCACCCGGUGCUGAUGGUGACGGGCAUGGUGGUGCUGUACGGCGCAGCGGCUCUGGUUUACCGCUUGCCACCGGCAUGGAGUGGCCCCAAGCUUCCCUGGAAGGUUCUGCAUGGUGCCCUGGCGUUGGCAGCUUUCAUCCUGGCUGUUUUGGGGCUGGCGGCUGUCUUUCGCUUCCACAAUGAGCAAGGGACGCCCAAUAUGUACUCGCUGCACAGCUGGCUGGGACUGGCCACCGUCCUGCUCUACUCCUGCCAGUGGCUGGCUGGUUUCAGCGCGUUCCUGCUUCCCUGGGCUCCUGCCUGGCUCCGUGCCCUCUACAAACCCGUCCACGUCUUCUUUGGCUCCAUCAUCCUUCUGCUUUCUGUGGCUUCGUGCGUGUCGGGCAUCAACGAGAAGCUCUUCUUCAGCCUAAUGGGACGAUGGACUACAAGCACUUGCCUGCCGAGGCUGUAUUUGCCAACACGCUGGGGCUCCUGAUCAUCCUUUUUGGGGUGCUGGUGGUGGGUGCCCUCGCCAAGCCAAGCUGGAAGCGCCCCGAUGCCGAUUCCCCCGACUCUUGCCAGCCCCUGCUCACCGCUGAGCGCUGAUUCCUGCCGAGGUCUCUCCCUGCCUUCCUGAGGUACCAGCCCUGAGCUCUCCAAUGCCAUCACUGCUCUGCCGGUCCUGCUCUCUGCGCAUUGCUUGCCCUCACCAGAUCUCCUGGUCUGCCAGGAACGGGCUCAGUUCCCGUACAGCUGCGGUGAGGACAUCUCUCCACCUCUUCUGUGGCCUGGCAUUGGCCUCCUGCCUGCUGUGGGAUGACGGCAGCUGCAGCGGGAUGCUCCUGCCUGCAUCCUUGGGCUUCUGCUUGCCAGUUCCUGCUGGGUCAAGCUGGCCUCUCAUGCCUGGACCUUGAUUUAUGACCACGUGGCUGCUCUCCAGCCCUCUCUGACCCCACAGUGCCAUCAUACACCUCGAUGCACGCCGAACUGGCUGCUCUCCAGCCCUCUGACCCCACAGUGCCAUCCUAGACCUUGGUCCGUGCCGAACUAGCUGCUCUCUGACCAUUCCUCAGUGGAGCAUUCAGAGCCUCAUCAAGUCAGAAGCCACUGGAGCAGCAUCCAUGUGCCUGUCAGCACUGCCAAUCCUGGGACCAUCUCCUGUGCCAGAUAUUCCAGGAUGGAAGAGACCCUCAGGCCAUGCCUUUCCCUCAGGACCAACUGAGCAGCCUUCAUGGACAUGUAAUAAACUGCUGGCUCCUGCAGCGUUCCCACACUUGCAUCCCUGGGGACAAGGGAAACCUGAGAAGCUGGGAUAGAACAGGUGGGUGCCCAGGGAGUGAAUCCCGGUGCCCUGCUUGUCCUCGCUGCCUCCUACUUUCCCUUCUGCUGCUGGUAGGCAGGGCUUCCCUGGCACCUGGGCUCAUUCUGGUUGUUUCCCCUGCUCAUUCCAGGUCCUUUCCCAUUUUUGGAGCCACUCCAUGUGACCAGGUGGGCUCUGCCAACAGUUCUUCCUUGUCCUUUGCCCACAGCCUCCUCCAGGCCAUGUGCCUAGGGCCAUGUGAGCCC